rnacentral:rRNA from 1 species
UACGUAGGGUGCGAGCGUUGUCCGGAAUUACUGGGCGUAAAGAGCUCGUAGGUGGUUUGUCGCGUUGUCCGUGAAAACUCACAGCUUAACUGUGGGCGUGCGGGCGAUACGGGCAGACUGGAGUACUGCAGGGGAGACUGGAAUUCCUGGUGUAGCGGUGGAAUGCGCAGAUAUCAGGAGGAACACCGGUGGCGAAGGCGGGUCUCUGGGCAGUAACUGACGUGGAGGAGCGAAAGCGUGGGGAGCGAACAGG